GAAUUCACAUUGUGACUUUGUUGUCAUAAGUUCGAGCUUAUUGUCCAUUUUAACGUGGUCGAUUUAGUUUAGCAACGAAAAUCAAAGAAAAGUAAAAGUGGGAAUUCUACAUACCUAUGUGAGUAUGUUUACUUUUUUUUUUUUUUUUUUUUUGACGGGAUGUGAGUAUGUUUACUUAAUGAGGAGAAAGAUAGAGUAAUGUGAGAUUUAUUGUACCUCCUUCGUGUUAUUAGAUGACAUAUUAUGGGGUAAACCCAAGUUGUUCUUCUUGUGAAACAACUUUUGUUUCUCAAGAGGGCGAAAUGGGAAUUUCAACGUGAAGAGUCCAAAUAUGGUCCACUUGGCAUUUGACAGCCGUUAGGCUGGCGUUUUCUUAAUAAGAUAACGGAAGAAACCCUAAAGUUAGGCUGUCGUUAUGUAACUGUUUAUUUUACUCUUCUUGAUGUUUUUUUACCCUUUGGGAGUGCUUUAAUUGAACGGAGGCAAGCAAUACGACGGAGGUACGCGGCGACGAAAUAUAGAAGGUGUAUAUCUAUUAUCGAUUCGAAGUGAUCUUUGUGAAAGGUGAGCUACCCGUCGAUUGUGUUUGCUAUUUGAUUAUGCAGUGAAUUUUGAAUUUGAGUGAUUGAGUUUGUAUUAUCUAUGGAUUCGGAUUUGGGUAUGAAUGCUUUGAAAUUGAUAUGAUUUUGUGAAUAUUUGAUUUUGGUAUGAGUUUUAUGGAGGAUUGAAUAUUUGAUUUUGAAGUAACUGUUUAUUAUCGAGUUUUCGGUGGAUAAAUUAUUCAAUUUUAGUUGUUAAUUGUGUUAAUAAGAUAUUUGAUUUUGUAAAAAUAUAAUUGGUAUGAGUUUUAUGGAGGAUUGAAUAAGCUGAAAAUAACUGUCUAUUUUUGUGUUUUUGGUGGAUAAAUUAUUCAACUUAAGCUGGUAAUUGUAUUAAUAAGAGAAUGUUUUGUUCGUAAUGAAAAUAUUUGACGACUGAAUCAGCGUUCUGAAGAUGUCAAAUGGUAAUGUCUCUAUUGAAGCCAAGGUCAGUGAAGGUCCCCGUUUUUGCUGGUUAAAUUAUAAAGUUAAUGCAAGGUUUAGUUGUGAAAUUAUUUAUGUGGUGUAGGUAUGUGAUGAUGGUGAGAGCAAUGGUGUGAUGAAGAACAAGCAAGUGACUGAAGUCUCGAUGCGUAAGACAAUUAAUUUGUACCCUGAACUGUUUAAGGACAAUAGUUCAAGUGUUGGUGGAUGUGCUAAAGGUAGAUCAGAGGUUAAUGCUUUGCAUAGGAAGGCUUGUAGUAGACCCCCUAACAUGAACUGCCGAAUAGAGUCAUUUGGACGAAUAUAUCAAAAAUUUGAUGAGAGAAGAAAACGGUGGGUUACUGAAAUGGGUUUUUGUGGUCUGUUACACAUGUCUUUUGGUAUUCAUUUACCCAGACAACUGGCUUAUUGGGUAAUGACCUGGAUUGACCCGUUAAGUGGUAAAAUGAUAACCCCCAGCGGUGUUGAGUUUAAGUUCUCAAAGAACCAAGUUAGGUGGGUGUUAGGGAUCCCAAAUGGUGCUAGAUCUGUGCCAUCCACCAAAACUAUGACUGAAGAGGGCAGAUUGAAAGUGCAGAAAAUACUUUUGCGUUAUGGGAAGUCAUGAGAAUCUAAGUCUAGCAAACCCCGCAGUGGUACAGUGUACACCUCUGUAGGGAUACCUGUUACAGCUGCAAUGUUGGAUCGUUUGGAAGGAUAUUUUGAGGAAUCACAGGAAGAAGAGUUUAAAACUCUGUUCUUGAUUGUGGCCUUGGAGAUGGUAUUAUGUCCCACACAAUCUCCUAGACUUGCGGCUAAUCUUUUACCUUCACUAAGUUGUGCAAUGGAUGCUGUUGAAUAUGGCUGGUGUGGUUUGGUUCUUUCAAAAUUCAUGGAUAGUGUUAGUAGUUUUGCGCGAAGGUUUUAUGCAAAUGGGUUUGCAGGAGGAUGUGGUGGUUGUACAAUUUUAGCUGUUAUAUUUUAUUUGGACCGAUUGGAUAGAGAUCCUGUACAAUGGGAUGCAUUUCCCAAGAUUAAGGUAUGGGACAUGCAGCAGAUUGGCAUAGCGUCAAAGUUGGACAAUCGUUGGAUGUUGCGUAUGGUGAAAGACAUCCUAGGGAAGCCAGGGAUACAGAAGUCCCUUCAGACCAUCGAAUAGUCAUCGAUGUUCCACAAGCAGAUGUUGGGUUUAACUCAAAGAAAAGGAGGGGUCGUUCUACAACUCGAUCUGACUAUAAGCGGUUGAAGUGAGUGAAGUUGAAUAAGUGUUCAAAUAAGUCGUCUGUGUUAUCCAGUUUUCCUAGUGUGUCUGUUUGUUUUCGCAUCAAAGGACUUGGUGAAUUUUAUGAAUUCCUGUUUGAGUUGUAACAACAAUUGUAACAGUUUUCCUACUUGCCCUUGUAAUCUUGUAUUCAUUACAAUUCCAUAGGACCUUGUCCAUGUAUUCUUGCAUUCUUUACAAUUCCGUGUGUAAUUUUUUUCAAUUACAAUUCCAUGUUAUAUAGUUGCUUUAAAUGUAAUUUUAUUCAUUGUGUAUUA